rnacentral:rRNA from 1 species
CCUACGGGAGGCAGCAGUGGGGAAUUUUCCGCAAUGGGCGAAAGCCUGACGGAGCAACGCCGCGUGAGGGAUGAAGGCCUCUGGGCUGUAAGCCUCUUUUAUCAAGGAAGAAGAUCUGACGGUACUUGAUGAAUAAGCCACGGCUAAUUCCGUGCCAGCAGCCGCGGUAAUACGGGAGUGGCAAGCGUUAUCCGGAAUUAUUGGGCGUAAAGCGUCCGCAGGCGGUCUUGUAAGUCUGUCGUUAAAGCGUGGAGCUCAACUCCAUUUCGGCGGUGGAAACUACAGGACUAGAGUGUGGUAGGGGCAGAGGGAAUUCCCGGUGUAGCGGUGAAAUGCGUAGAUAUCGGGAAGAACACCAGUGGCGAAGGCGCUCUGCUGGGCCAUAACUGACGCUCAUGGACGAAAGCUAGGGGAGCGAAAGGGGAUUAGAUACCCCUGUAGUCCUAGCCGUAAACGAUGAACACUAGGUGUCGGGGGAAUCGACCCCCUCGGUGUCGUAGCUAACGCGUUAAGUGUUCCGCCUGGGGAGUCGCNCGCAGUGUAGAACUACAAUAGUAGUUAGACGGCGUGAGACGCGCCGACGGACGACGACGAGGGAGUAGG